rnacentral:rRNA from 1 species
UACGUAGGGUGCGAGCGUUAAUCGGAAUUACUGGGCGUAAAGCGUGCGCAGGCGGUUCGUGAUGUCUGAUGGGAAAGCCCCGGGCUCAACCUGGGAAUGGCAUUGGAAACUAGCGGGCUGGAGUGUGGCAGAGGGGGGUGGAAUUCCACGUGUAGCAGUGAAAUGCGUAGAGAUGUGGAGGAACACCGAUGGCGAAGGCAGCCCCCUGGGCUAACACUGACGCUCAUGCACGAAAGCGUGGGGAGCAAACAGG